rnacentral:rRNA from 1 species
AGGAUAAACGCUGGCGGCGUGCCUAACACAUGCAAGUCGAACGUCUCUUCUUUCGGGAAGAGGAGUGGCGGACGGGUGAGGAACACGUGGGAACCUGCCCUUUAGUGAGGAAUACCGGCGAGAAAUCGCCGACAAGACCGCAUAGCCCUCUUUGAUGAGAGUCAAAGAAGGAAAGCUUCGCAAGAGGCGCUAGAGGAGGGGCCUGCGUCCGAUUAGCUAGUUGGUGGGGUAAGAGCCUACCAAGGCGUCGAUCGGUAGCUGGUCUGAGAGGACGAUCAGCCACACUGGGAUUGAGAACGGCCCAGACUCCUACGGGGGCAGCAGUGAGGAAUUUUCGGCAAUGGGGGAAACCCUGACCGAGCAACGCCGCGUGCAGGAAGACGGCCUUGGUUGUAAACUGCUUUUCUUUGGUACGAGAACGGACGGUACCAGAGGAAUCAGCCCGGCUCGACUACGUGCCAGCAGCCGC